rnacentral:lncRNA from 1 species
UUGACCUAGACCACACUAUACAAAUGAAAAGAUUGUUAUUAUUGAUAGGAUUAAUCAUUUUAAGAAGGCUGGAUUUGCUUGCUUCUAUUUUAGCUGCUGAAAUUAGGAUUACUGUUUGGGAGACACUGCAGUUCAGUAUACGAUUACAAAACUUAAUACUUAGACUGGGUAGUUCAUGUAAAUGGACAUAGGAGGCUGGGGUAGACAAAAGGGAGGGGUGAGGACUGCAGUGAAAUUGGAAACACAUCCUUUAUUAAAAGGGGGCAGCUGCUACUCAUCUUUGCUCUGGAGGUCAAAAGAAAUGAGACUGCUGGGCUAAGAUCAAGGUGUCAGCAGGGCUGUAUUCCUUCCCAAGGCUCCAGGGGAGAAUCUGUUCACUUGCCUUUCCCAGCUUCUAGAGGUUGCCUACAUUCCUUGGCUUGCGGACCCUUCCUCCAUCUCCAGAAUCAGUAACGAAAGAUCCAAAGCCAUAUCCUGGCUGAGUUGGCUGAGUUGAGCAGGACACUGACAAGGAGGCUGCUGAGCCUGCAACUCGACUGUUCUGUUUGAGGAGCUCUGUGCUUUAUCAUAGAAAUGGAUCUGGUGAGUGCAGAGCCCAGGGAAUCUACGGAAGCAUUUGCACUGUGGUAUUUCAGCGUCGUCAGUGCUCAAUCUUCAUAACCCUAAAAAACUUACUGAGAUUGGAAAAAUAACUUUCCUACUGUAAGUCUGAAUCUCUUGAACCCCUUCUCCUACCUUCACCCACUGAAUCCAUUGUUUUUAUAGUUCUGUGCUUGACAACGUGGAUUUUCGUAAGAAUGCCACUGUCUUUUUUUUUUUUUUAGACAAUAUCUCAGUCUGUUGCUCGGGCUGGAGUGAGUGGCAUGAUCAUGGCUCACUGCAGCCUCAGUCUCCCUGGGCUUUGGAGAUCCUCCUAACUCAGCCUCCCAGGUAGCUGGGACUAUAGGCAUGCGGCACCACACCUGGCUACUUUUUUUUUUGAGACAGAGUCUCACUCUGUCGCCCAGGCUGGAGUGCAGUGGCACUAUCUCCACUCACUGCAAGCUCUGCCUCCCGGUUUCAUGCCAUUCUCCUGCCUCAGCCUCCCAAGUAGCUGGGACUACAGGCACCCGCCACCAUGCCUGGCUAAUUUUUUUGUAUUUUUAGUAGAGACAAGGUUUCGCCGUGUUAGCAAGGAUGGUCUUGAUCUCCUGACUUUGUGAUCCGCCCGCCUCGGACUCCCAAAGUGCUGGGAUUACAGGUGUGAGCCACCGCGCCCGGCAUGCCUGGUUAUUUGUUGUAUUUUUUGUAGAGACGGGUUUUCGCCAUAUUGCCCAAGCUGGUCUUGAACUCCUGGGCUCAAGGGAUUUGCCCUUCUUGGCCUCCCAAAGAGCUAGGGUUACAGGCAUGAGCCAUGGUGCCUGGCCACUACUGUCGUAUUAUAGCAGAACAGUUUAUAUCAAUUUGGUGAGAGGGUAGUAGGUAGGAGGGGAUGGCUAGAGAAGAAAAUCAUGAUCUAAGUUUAAAAAAUAUAUAUUAUUUAUUUUUUGUUUUGUAGAGAUGUGGUCUCCCUAUGCUGCCCAGGCUCAUCUCAAACUCCUGGGCUCAAGCAUUCCUCCCACCUUGGCCUCCUAAAGUGCUGGGAUCAUAGGCGUGAACCACUGUGCCUGGCCUCAUGAUAUAACUUCUUAAUGUUAGUUUUUCCUUAAAGAGGGACUGCUUGCAGAGAGCUGUCACUUCUUUCUGCUUAGAACAGAUGAAAAUACAGAAGUAUAACAUCUCUAGUGGCUCAAAGAUAUACACAGAGCAUUAACAAUCCACUCACAGGAGUGUCAACACAUAUGCAGACAUCUGCCAUGCAUAGUUUGAAAAAACACCCCUGCAUCUGUAAGGACAGAUCUGUAUUUGUCAUUAGAGGGGAACAUUACAUUCAAAUUAUUUUAACAAAUGAACUUUGGGAUUUAAAAAACCACUGCUUUUCCCUUUAAUUCCAGUGCCUGUAUAACCUGCUUGAGUGAUGGGACAAAAAGUUAAUUCUACUUCUCUGUUGUUUCAUAGAAUAAUAUAUUUAGCUUCAAAAGAUAAUGUGAAGUUUCUCUAAAGAGAAAACAAAUUCUAGUGUGAUCAGGUGAUUUGGAAGCUGAGAUCUACAACACAGACUCCAGUGACUAAUGAGUGGUAUAAAACACAAUACAAUUAUAAAAAGAUGACUGUGAGGAAUUUUUAUUUUCCUUUCAUGUUCACUAAUUGCAAGCUUUCUUCAUUUCGGUAAUAUCUAAAAUGAUCUCCUCUUGUCGGAGGUAGAUUUUCCCAGUAGCUUCUAACUCCUGUGUCAAAGAGAAAAUAAAGAUUUACCUUUAAAGAGAGUCACUGAUUGGCUCACCUGAUUAUACUGUUUAAAAACAAUAGCCUUAAGAGAGUCCAGAUACCGACUUCUCAGGUCCAUUUUCACAAUCUGAUGGUGUUUGCUAGCAAUUGUCAGCGCCUUGAAAUGAAAAUUUGCAAGACUAUUACUAGGAUUACUGCCUCUGUGUUUAUAAUACUUGUCAAAGUAAAAUGUAAGAGCUGCAAUUAGGGAAUAGUUUCCCCGUAAGUGUAAAAAGAAGUCUAGAAAAACAUCUGAUAGCCUGUUACUGAGCUUCAAAAACAAAGUGGUUAAUGGCAUUAAUACUCUGAUAAAUGCAGUCUUUUGUAUCAUUUCUUAGAAAAGCGAUCCUGUUUAAAGUUAGGAGUUACUAAUAAAUCAAGUUCAGACUUUGGAAUAAACAAUAAAUACUCAAAAUGUUACUGUUUUUGAAUAUCAGUCAUCUAAUACCAUAAUGAUAUUGCCAUACAAAAACGCAGAUAUGUAUGCUUUUUGGCAAAUACUGAAGAAAUAAGUGUGUAUUGAAUACAGCUCAUAAGAGUUUCCUGUCAUUAGGGGAAAAGAAGACUGAAACAGAAUUACUAUGAUAGGAUAAGAUGUUUAACCUGAUCUAGAGAACAGACAAGUUUGCCUUAAGAUACACAAUAGAAAUGAACAUUAGUCCGCGCAGUGGCUCACGGCUGUAAUCCCAGCGCUUUGGCAGGCCAAGGCAGGUGGAUCACUUGAAGUCGGGAGUUUGAGACCAGCCUGGGCAACAUGGUGAAACCCCACCUCCACUAAAAAUAGAAAAAUAAGUUAGCCAGGCAUAGUGGUGAGUGCUUGUAGUCCCAGCUACUUGGGAGGCUGAGGCAGGAGAAUCGCUUGAACCUUGGGGGUGGAGGGUGCAGUGAGCCAAGAUCGCCCCACUGCACCCCACCCUGGGUGACAGAGUGAGACCCUGUCUCAAAAAAAAAAAAAGAACAUUAGCCUUUGGGGUAAUGUUUAAACUACCUGUGGCAAGGUGUACUCACCUGGCUAUAAGUGGAUGAAAGACCACUAUGUAUCAUGGAGCAGGAGACCCCAAAUGUAAAGAAGUGUUUUAAGGAAAUAGAAGUGAGUAGCAGUCUUUGCCAUUUCAAUAAACCACCAAAAAACUUAAAUGACAAGCAAGUAGUCAUUUACUACCUAGGGCUCGCCUGGUCACAACAGUGGAGUCCUUGGUACUCCACACCGCACCUCCACCCCACUCUGCUGUGGAGUGACAGGACAUGAUGCAGCCAGGAUGGUGGAGCUGCUCGCCUACAACCAGCUGAUGUGGCAGCUCUGGAACCAAUUGAAGGUGCCACUGAGGUUGUGAAUGCUAACAGUGGUAGCAGCAAGUGCCAGGCCAAUUUAGGGAGAACUAACUUUGGGGAAAGAUGCUAGGAAGCCUGUGAUAUUAAAGGCAGAACCAUAAAGAGAAGCAGGCUCGGAACAGAGGCUACAUCUUAUGUGAAAGCAGUCUCCUUGUGUAUGGAAUGUGGGAGAAAUGGUUACAAAUGAAAAUAAUGUUCAUUAAUAAGCAAAUUAUACAAUUAUGAAAAAGUAAUGAGGUAUAUUCAUUUGUAACCACGUGGAAAUGUUAUGUUAAUUUUUUUUUUUUUUUAAGACGGAGUUUCUUUCUCGUUGCCCAGGCUGGAGUGCAAUGGUGCGAUAUGGGCUCACUGCAACCUCUGCCUCCCGGGUUCAAGCAAUUCUCCUGCCUCAGCCUCCCAAGUAACUGGGAUUACAGGUGCCCACCACCACGCCUGGCUAAUUUUUUUGUAUUUUUAGUAGAGACAGGGUUUUACCAUGUUGGCCAGGCUGGUCUCAAACUCCUGACUUCAGGUGAUCCACCUGCCUCGGCCUCCCAAAGUAUUGGGAUUACAGACAUGAGCACCGCGCCUGGCCUACCCUGGCUUUUCUAAUAACCAUCUUGUCAAAGGAAAUAGCAAACUUUGACAGUAGUUAUUUUGAACGAACGGAAUAGGGAAAAGGGGUAUGAAGCUUUGAAGACUUUUUAUCUUUAGAGACUUCUGUAUCGGUUGCAUUUUUUUAUAUUAAGUAUGCAUUAUUUCUAGAUCAAAAAACAAUAAAAUAUAGCUCCAAUCUAAUAUCUUAUGCCAUGUUCCCAUCUGCAGAUAACAACACUCUGUUUCUUAUUUUAGGAGAACAAGAAUUACAUGUGGUAUUCUAUAUCUUUUUUUUGUUUUUUUAGAGGUGGGGUGUUGCUUUGUCUUGUGAUCGCAGCUCACGGCAGCCUUGGACUCGUGGGCACGAGCAAUCCUCCCACUUCAGCCUCCCAAGUAGCUGGGACCACAGGUACAUGCCACUGCACCUGGCCUAGUAUUCUCUAUCAAAUACUUAUUCAACAGUUAAAAUCUAUAUAGACCUUUGAGAUAGGAUAAUAAAAUAUUAUAGCUUGUAAUAAUUUUU